ensembl:lncRNA
CCAGGAUGCCAGGAUGCCUGGCAAACAGCAGGAAUUUCCACAUUGUCCCAUGCAUUAAGACAAAUGACAAUUCUCUAAAUCAUCAGUGGGCUAUUAUGUGGAAACCAAUGUAUCGUAGAUACACAGCAAGAUUUAUGACAAGUAGUAUAUUAAAAAAAUGUAUGAGCAGGGAAUGAGGGCCAUUUCUAAGAGAAAUUAAUCCGUGCAGGUUUAUUGUUCUGAGAACAUUUCAUCCAUCCUGUUGCGUAAAGAUGAGUUCUCUGUGAAUGCUUCCAGACAAGACCUACUAAAUUGAAAACCCAACUCCUCCCCACUCACACUCUGAGGAUUCUUUUAGUUUUUCUUAAUCCUUUUGGCUGUUAUGUAGCAGUCUGAAACAGCAUCUCCCCACCGCCUCGCUGAGACUAACCAAAUUUAUUAUAUAAUCUCAUCCCCUGUUCCAAAAAAACUUCGAGAUCAAUCUCAAAAAGCAGUCCUCUGAACUUGGCAGGCGCUUGUGUGGGAAAGUCUUUAAAAAAAAACAAAUUUGUUUAUGUACUGGGACAGGGAGCUCAGAAAGAAGAUAAAACUCACCAUGAUCCAACACUGCCCUCGGCCGCGGAGCCCGGACCACUCUCACAGUGCAGGCACUGCUGUAGGCCUGCGACCGCCUGCCCGUGCCGCGGUUGUCCCCGUGCUGCCAGUAGGCAGUGGGGAUGGAGGUGUCCUGGGGAGGGGGGUGCAGCCUGAGCACUGCAUAGGGAGAAGAGAACGUCUGAGAGGAACAACAGUUUCACACCAAGUCACGUUAAAUUCACGGACAUUUAUUUCGGGGGUUUUGUUUUGUUUUUUUUUUAAGAAGUGACUUAAGUGCAUAGCACCAAUGGCGUCCCAUGAGAGCUAACCACAGACCCUGGAAACUUCUUAGCUUGCAGACUAAUCCUAGUUCUGACAGUCUGCAUAGUUAAACGCUUUGGAUGGAAAAACAGCCUACACCUACUCAGAGUGCCGACACUAGAUCAGUUCCCCCGUCAGUUCUCACAUAAGUGGUGUUUGAGCACUUUGAAAGAAUGUCUGCAUGAUCCACUACACUGAAUUAGUUAGUCUCAGGGCUUCAGAUUAUAGAUAUUUUCCCAAAUAUGUGUACUGAUGCAUUUUUUGCAGAGAUGAAGGAAGCAUGCCCUUGUUCACAAAGCAGAGCCAACAAGCUUCAUUUCAGAGAGUGCGCCAUUUGUGCUGCAUCCUAAAUUGAAGCUGUGUAGGAAGCUAGAAAAGGGGGCAAAGAGGCAUAGGGCAGGGACGAUGCAAUUGUCCGUUUGACUGAGAAAAGACAACCAUGUCAACCAUGACAAUUCUGUGCUAGAGGAUGAAUCUUUCAUGCUGAAACCAUGAUCACUUCAUAUGCACUGCUUAGUUGCAGCACAGAACGCCAGAGAUCCUUUGUCCAACAGGUUCCUAGCUGGCCAUCAAUGGUAGAAGCAUUAUUUCUGAAUGAUGUGAUGGAGAGAUCUUAGUGUAAGUGAGAAUUACAAGAAUAUAAAUCAAAAUGGUCAAAAUUGUUAAAAUUUUUGUCAGAGAAAACACCAGCUAUACAUCUUUCAAAAGUUUGUCUUCUAUCUGCCACAUCUUAGAUUAGAUUUGUCUCUAAAGUGCUGUGUGUGAUUUUGCAUGGCAACAGAAAUCAACAAUCUGCAUUUGGUUGACCCUUAAAUGUUAUGUUUUUUUGAUGAACCUAUAUACAUUUUAGUGAGAAAACUGGAACUUUAAUGUGUGUGAUAUAGAGGUAAUCCUCUAGUCUAGCAAUCCCCUAGCACAGAGAUGCCAGAGCUUUGGAAGGAAUCAAAUCACUGGUGAAGGCAGUGCCCUAAAUAUGAAUCCAUCAGAGAGAAAUGUGGAGGUGAUGAGUAGCUUAGCUUGUAGAAAGUAACAGGAAGAUGCACUACAGUCUCUACAGCUUGAAGAAAGCAGUAUCCAAGAAAGUCGAUUUGAUCUGUUCUCCAAAUGGAUGCCCCUAACUACAUUCAGGGACUCUGAACAUGACGUGGAGGAAUGACACAGCCAAGUAGAGUUGACAGAAGCUUGCAAAAUAUCCAGGAGUUUUCAAAGCCUUUCACCCUCAUUAAUCACAAAGAUAUUCUGCAGGUCACUGCUGAAUGCAGAUCGGGAUGAAUGCUACAGUACCAUAACGUCACAAGAAGCCAAGACAAGCAUGUGCUAGAAUCCAUUAGACAUUAUCACCUGUGGAUGGUACCUCUGAGAGGAAGCAGACGGCUUAAUAAAUGAAUGAUUAAAACUGAAGUGCAAGACUGCCACAGAAAAAAGCUCCAUGACACCUUCUGUAAUCAGUUGACCAACAUACUGGGCUUUUGCUGUCACAUGGAAUCUAAGAGAAUGCAUUCAUGGUGCAUCUUGAAAUCAAUGCACAGGCUAGCAUUCUCACCCCAAAACACCACCUUCCAACAUGAAGGAAAUUUGGUUUGUACUCCAGACAGAAUGAAACGGAGCUCCGCGUCCUGCAUUAUAGCAGUGCUCACCUUCCCUCUGAUGCUAAACCCUCUAAUCUGUGGGUUUUUGUGCAAGUGGACUCUGGGAACACUUCGCAUCUAUGGGAUCAGUAUGGCUGAGACCACGUGCAAAGACAAGUAUAGAACAGAAAAUAGUUCCUUUCCCGCAGAGUGAGGGGAAACCCAGAAGAGGAAUUACGAGGGUGGAGGUGAAGAAAUCCCUCUGGUCCAUCUCUGAACACUGAGGAGGGGCAUAGCUGGGCAUGAGAAGCUGCAGGAAGAGUGGGAAUAGAAAAACAGGAAGGCUGGAAGCUAUGGAUCAGCUCCAUAUCAAAGAUCUUAUCAGUAUCUUCAAUGACUCAUUUAUGUUUUUUUCCCCUCCAAUAUUUUUGUGGCAUAUCCAGUUUCUUUAUUACCAUACAAAGAUUGGGAAAUUAAGCAGAAAAGGAUGGAGAGUUCAAGCAGAAAAGGUGGAAAAGUGCUACAUCAAGGCAAAUGUAUAAACGUGAGUGUUCUUAGCUUUAGCAAUAUGUUUGGCCAAAUUCUUUUGAAAUUACGAUGUCAUGGACUUCAUGAUGGUAUGCACAGGAUUGUGCAGACACAACAGAUGACCCUUCCACUACACAGUUGUUUCCAGACCAUCCCAGCAGAAGUUAAUUCCCAGAAAACAGUCCACGUGUGACAAGCACACUUUAAAUACCCCAUGUCGUCCACGUGUUUCCUACAUAGUUUUAGUAACUGUGGUGUCAUAGGUAAGGCAAUACCAGCAUCUUGAGUUGUUACUGGACCUUACUUGGGGAACAGCACCAUUCUUUUGUACAGAAGAAUAGAGAAGAGGGAGAAAGGAACUGCUACAUUUCCAGCUUUCAGCUCAGUAUGUGCCUGGGGCAAACUCUGUGAGGCAUCCAGAGAUGGAAGCUCAGAGUCACUCCCAGCAACACAGCCAAGACACAGCCUGCAUAUCUUUUAGCACAUUGCAUACAUUGAAAGUGAAGACUGGUCAGCUUUGUGAUUGACUCCAGAUAGAGUCAACUUAAGUUUAGCCAGACUUAUUAGCUCUAAUUCAGCCCUGGGUUUGCCAGACACAACCUGGCUUUUGCACAAUCUCUUAAGUAUUUCUGCACUCCACUCCAAGAGGGUGUAUUAGCUCAUGUGCAACUCAAGGUAUGUUUGCAACACUGCAACCACAAUGAUAAAUGUUGCUGGAGCCAGGACAUACUUCGGUGUUGCCACACAGAAUUCACUCAAGCUUUGGACUCAGUCCUGGAAUGCUGUACUUGCACUUCCGAGUGCAGAUGGACCCCCCUACACAGUGCCAGCUAAGUGUCAGAGCCUCCACAGCACAGUUAAUCCACAACCUGGAUAAACUGCUCGUGGAUGACUGAGAAUUGAUUGCACACCCAUCUAGCACUUCUGUUCUACGGGAGGAU